rnacentral:rRNA from 1 species
CCCUAGUAUAAAAUGUUUAAUAAAUUAGUAUUAAAAUGAAAUUUAAAGAUGUUGGCGGCUAAUAAAUUUUAGAGGAGCUUGUAAUUUUAUAGAAUUAACUCUUUAAAUUUUAAUAAAAAUAUAAUUUAUUCAUCUCCGUCAUCAAAUUUUUUAAUAAAUAUUUUUAAUAUUUCAGGUCAAGAUGUAGUAUUUUAUAUAAAUUUAUUAGCUACAUUUAUAAUAAUAAAUGGAUUUAUAAAAUUUGAAAAAUUUGAUGAAAUUGAAUUUAUAUGUAAUAAAUUAAUUAGAAAAUUAUUAUGAAUUAAAUAAAUUAGUGUA